AUGGCAGCACCCCAGCUUUCUCAGGUCCCCCAAAGAUGGCCGAUGCCCCCAGGUUUACAAAGUACCCCCAAAGACUGGAGAAAGAGGAGAAGAAAGAGAGGAACAGGAAAAGGGAAAGAAGAGAAGGGGGAGGAGAAGGGGGAAAAGGAGAAGUCUCACUGUGAGGCCCAUGCUGACCUUGAACUCAUGCUCUCCCUGCCUUUUUCUCUUGAGUGCUGGGAUUACUGCUAUACCACCACACUGCAAAUUAGAUAUUUUGAUCAACCCUCUGCUUUAUCGUCUCUGCUCUGCCUCACCAAAGCUCUUUCCUUUGUGGUAAGGGUCAGAAGGGUUGCCUGUGUCUUUCUAUUAAAAUUCAUAUUUUCUCCAAACAAUAGGUUAUUGUUUAGGUUUCUUCACUAAUUUCCAUAGUUUUAGAAACCAAAAGUCAUAAGAAUCAUCAUUCUCAG
rnacentral:lncRNA from 1 species